rnacentral:rRNA from 1 species
UACGGAGGGUGCAAGCAUUAAUCGGAAUUAUUGGGCGUAAAGGGCGCGUAGGCGGAAAGAGAAGUCUGAUGUGAAAUACCGGGGCUCAACCUCGGUGCUGCAUUAGAAACUGACAUUCUUGAGGGAUGGCGGAGAAAACGGAAUUCCAAGUGUAGCGGUGAAAUGCGUAGAUAUUUGGAAGAACACCGGUGGCGAAGGCGGUUUUCUAGCUAUUACCUGACGCUGAGGCGCGAGAGCAAGGGGAGCAAACAGG